GUAUGGGAGGGUUCCCGUAGGGGACACAAUGGAUGGGAGCUUGGCAGGGGGAUGGCUGUAUGGGAGAGUUCCUGUGGGGGGCACAAUGGGUGGGGGCUUGGCAGGGGGGAUGGCUGUAUGGGAGGGUUCCUGUGGGGGACACUAUGGGGCAGGGGAAUGGCUGUAUGGGAGGGGUCUCACAGGGGAAACUAAGGGGGGGAUGUGGCAAUAAUAAGCAGGCAGGAGCACUCCUGGGUAUUAUAUCCUGUUAGAAGUAAACUGAAUGUUUGACAAAAAUGGGGCACAUUAAAGGCACUUGACUGCCUCAGUUACUACUAAAACCUAGCAGUGAACUGAAGAAUGUGACUAGAGUGUUAACAUUGGUUCCUGAGAGCAAAUGAUCUGCUGCAUCUUUCUUUUGGAUAGCUUCAGGUUGCAAGCUGGGUGUCGAACUCAGGCCGUCACCUGAUGAAUGAUGUGUUUGUUCUUUUUCUCUGGGCUGAAGAGCAGGCAGAACUGGAUUAUUGACAUGGCUAUGCAGAGCAUUACUACUGGGGAUGUACACUGUUGUUGUUUUAACUGUUAUACAAAUAUUUCAUUCUAGUAACCUACAUGAAAGGGAUUUAAGAGGAUAAAUCUUCAUUAAUGUGCACAGAGAGAUAAAUGCGAAACUCUAUUAUUGGGGACAUGGCUAGCCUGAAAGCCAUAUAUUGUAAACAAGUAUUUCUGUACCUAUUUAUGACUCUCACAGUCUGUGCAUCUUUC